UUCGCUUUAAUUAUAACACUAUCUGUAUAUUUUUUCCAAGAAAGUUUUGGAGUAAAUGUUACACCUAGAAAUUUUAUGUCACAUGAAAUAGGCAGUGGAAUGCCAUUGUAUAAAAUGGGAGGCAAUAUGAUGCGUUUACGACCAAUCACAAAGACUUUUGAUUUGGUUGGAUUUACAUUUAAAUUAAGAUAAGAAAAGUAUUGAUAUAAAUUUACAAGUGCUUUAUUAAUAGUAGCGGCUAAAUUAAUCAGAUCAACUCCCGAUACAUAGACGACUAAGUCAUCUGCAUACUGUAGGUUUACUAUAUUUGGCCCCAAAAUAAGGUUCAAUCGUCUUAUGUACAUAAUAAAAAUUAAAGGAGACAAUAUUCCCCCCUGACAAACACCUAGAGAAGAAAAUCGUGGUCCAUACAAAUGUUUAUUAAAUUUUACAUAUACUUUUCUGUCAGUCAAAAAGGAUUGCAUCCAAUUUAUUAUUUUACCUGGUAUCCCUAACAUUGAUAACUCGUCACAAAGCACGGCAAUAUUUACACUAUUGAAGGCACCUGAGAUGUCAAAAAAUACAGACAAAAGAUACUGAUUACUUGCUAAACAUUGAUGCGCAUCAAGCUGUAACUGCGCUAUACUCUCCCUAGAAGACCGACCUUUGCGAAAACCAAACUGAUUAUUAGGCAAAAGACAAUUUUGUUCUAUAAAGAACUCGAGACGUUGUUUUAGAAGCUGCUCAAAUAUCUUCCCAACACAAGACGUGAGAGCUAUAGGUCUAUAAGAGUCAGGGAGAUGAUAACUACUGCCCAGAGGACUGUCAAUAACUGACCAGUCACAUAAAAGAGCCAAUGAUGGAGUUACCAAAGUCAAGUCAAGAGCAUUAGGACGCCAAGAUGGAGAUCCUAUUGUGGUAGCUUGACCAUUAUUCAGAAUAACAAGACCAUUCUCAUCUAUAACCUCUAAAACAUCUUUACCUCGAGGCAAUGUAUCAACACAUCCCCACAACAUGUGAUGAGCAUUGAAAUCACCUGCAAAUAUCAUUGGCUCUGGAAUGGACUUAAUUAAACUGUUUAAAUUGUUUUUAUUAAAUGGAGGAUUUGAAUUGGAAGGACUGUAAAAACUCACAAUACUCAGUUCUUUGUUAUUAAUUUUAAUUUUAAUGCAAACAUUUUGUAGAGCACUAUCAAAAUAUGUAUUUAUGUUAGAAAAUGUGAUAUUAUUAUGAAUAAAAAUUGCUACACCA